rnacentral:rRNA from 1 species
UACGUAGGACCCAAGCGUUAUCCGGAGUGACUGGGCGUAAAGAGUUGCGUAGGCGGUCGUAUAAGCGAAUAGUGAAAUCUGGUGGCUCAACCAUCAACACAUUGUUCGAACUGUACGACUCGAGAAUGGUAGAGGUACUUGGAAUUUCUUGUGUAGGAGUGAAAUCCGUAGAUAUAAGAAGGAACACCAAUGGCGUAGGCAGAGUACUGGACCAUUUCUGACGCUGAGGCACGAAAGCGUGGGGAGCGAACCGG